GGUCAAGCGAACAAGUGCAUGUGGUGGAUGCCUUGGCGAUCACAGGCGAUGAAGGACGCGGUAGCCUGCGAAAAGCUUCGGGGAGCUGGCAAACGAGCUUUGAUCCGAAGAUGUCCGAAUGGGGAAACCCACUCCGAAUGGAGUAUCCGUAGCUGAAUCCAUAGGCUACGUGAAGCGAACGCGGUGAACUGAAACAUCUAAGUAACCGCAGGAACAGAAAUCAACCGAGAUUCCCAGAGUAGUGGCGAGCGAAAUGGGACCAGCCUGUACUCUUUAUCUGCAUGAUUAGGCGAGCGCUCUGGAAAGUGCGGCCAUAGUGGGUGAUAGCCCCGUAGCCGAAAAUCAUGUGGAAGAACCAGGUGUACGACAAGUAGGGCGGGACACGUGAAAUCCUGUCUGAAGAUGGGGGGACCAUCCUCCAAGGCUAAAUACUCGUGAUCGACCGAUAGUGAACCAGUACCGUGAGGGAAAGGCGAAAAGAACCCCGGGAGGGGAGUGAAACAGAUCCUGAAACCGCAUGCAUACAAACAGUCGGAGCCCCGC
rnacentral:rRNA from 1 species